AUUGAAAUGCUUUCUCUUUACAGUUUCUCACUCUGCAAUAAGCAACCAUUCUCACUUCCACAGCUUUCUUUAAUCUCCAAUAACAAGCCUAUACCUCUCAUUUCUCUCAGGCUACUAAAUGGAUAUGCUUAUUUUUUCAAGAAAACAAGCACAAACCAAUCUUCUUCAUCUUCUUGUAUUGUUCAUGCAGCAGAGAAAGACUCACAGC
rnacentral:misc_RNA from 1 species